AGAGUUUGAUCCUGGCUCAGGAUGAACGCUGGCGGCGUGCCUAACACAUGCAAGUCGAGCGAUCUUCUUCGGAAGAGAGCGGCGGACGGGUGAGUAACGCGUGGGUAACCUGCCUCAUACACAUGGAUAACAUACCGAAAGGUAUGCUAAUACAAGAUGAUAUAAGAGAUUCGCAUGGAUUUCUUAUCAAAGCUCCGGCGGUAUGAGAUGGACCCGCAUCUGAUUAGCUAGUUGGUAAGGUAACGGCUUACCAAGGCGACGAUCAGUAGCCGACCUGAGAGGGUGAUCGGCCACAUUGGAACUGAGACACGGUCCAAACUCCUACGGGAGGCAGCAGUGGGGAAUAUUGCACAAUGGGCGAAAGCCUGAUGCAGCAACGCCGCGUGAGCGAUGAAGGCCUUCGGGUCGUAAAGCUCUGUCCUCAAGGAAGAUAAUGACGGUACUUGAGGAGGAAGCCCCGGCUAACUACGUGCCAGCAGCCGCGGUAAUACGUAGGGGGCUAGCGUUAUCCGGAUUUACUGGGCGUAAAGGGUGCGUAGGUGGUUUCUUAAGUCAGGAGUGAAAGGCUACGGCUCAACCGUAGUAAGCUCUUGAAACUGGGAAACUUGAGUGCAGGAGAGGAAAGUGGAAUUCCUAGUGUAGCGGUGAAAUGCGUAGAUAUUAGGAGGAACACCAGUAGCGAAGGCGGCUUUCUGGACUGUAACUGACACUGAGGCACGAAAGCGUGGGGAGCAAACAGGAUUAGAUACCCUGGUAGUCCACGCCGUAAACGAUGAGUACUAGGUGUCGGGGGUUACCCCCCUCGGUGCCGCAGCU
rnacentral:rRNA from 1 species